CUACCGUCGACACUCGAACAUGACUGCUCUACUUCAACAAGAGAGCUAACAGCAUUGGAAGAACAUGGUGGCAGGAAGAGGAAGACUGAAACGUACCAUAAAGAAGAAGAGGCAACUCCUGCCAGAUACUGGCCAGUCUGUAGAGCAAAAAUGGUGCUACAAUUGCUCCGAUGUCGCUGGCUGAUGAACACGCUGACACGCCCAAGUUUCUGGGAUCAGCUGUCACGCGCUGGAGGGGGAUAGCCUGCUGAACGCGGGGGGGAAACGCACGGACGUGAGAACCCCUUGCAAACCCCCCAUCUGCACGUCAUGGAACAUUUGCAGAACAGGGACCUCCCACCUUAAAGGCGUGCAACAGAGAGCAGACACAACAGUGAGAUCUGCCCCGCACUGAACUCACCAUCUCAGGUAACAAAUGCACCUCCAGCUAUUGUGGACCGGCGGAGGUUAAGGCUUCAAAAAAAACAACAAAAAAACAAAACAAACAAACAAACAAACAAAAAAAAACGGUAUGCCCGCGGUGUGAAGCAGCGGUGAACAGAGGCUUACCGGUCACUGUGCAGCGUGCAGAUAACUCCACAACUCCGACAGUUUUUCAGAUGCAUAAGAAGGAAUAUUGUUUCCUGGGUCGUCUGUGCACAGCAGGGGUGCAGAGAUCAGUUUUGCGCCGUCAGCGUGCUUUACAAUGACCCGCACGGCUGUGGCGCUAUUAAAGAUGCGAGCAGCAGGGGGCGCUACAGGGACGCAUCACAAUUCAGUCAUGAUCGGGAGUG